GGGCGUAAAGCGCGCGCAGGCGGUCUUUUAAGUCUGGUGUCUAAGUGCGGGGCUCAACCCCGUGAUGCACUGGAAACUGGGAGACUUGAGUGCAGAAGAGGAGAGCGGAAUUCCACGUGUAGCGGUGAAAUGCGCAGAUAUCAGGAGGAACACCGGUGGCGAAGGCGGGUCUCUGGGCAACAACUGACGCUGAGGAGCGAAAGCGUGGGGAGCGAACAGGAUUAGAUACCCUGGUAGUCCACGCCGUAAACGUUGGGCGCUAGGUGUGGGGCUCAUUCCACGAGUUCCGUGCCGCAGCUAACGCAUUAAGCGCCCCGCCUGGGGAGUACGGCCGCAAGGCUAAAACUCAAAGGAAUUGACGGGGGCCCGCACAAGCGGCGGAGCAUGUUGCUUAAUUCGAUGCAACGCGAAGAACCUUACCUAGGCUUGACAUGCACGGAAAUCUCGUAGAGAUACGGGGUCCGUAAGGGCCGUGCACAGGUGGUGCAUGGUUGUCGUCAGCUCGUGUCGUGAGAUGUUGGGUUAAGUCCCGCAACGAGCGCAACCCUCGUUCUAUGUUGCCAGCACGUCAUGGUGGGGACUCAUAGGAGACUGCCGGGGUCAACUCGGAGGAAGGUGGGGAUGACGUCAAAUCAUCAUGCCCCUUAUGUCUAGGGCUGCAAACAUGCUACAAUGGCCGGUACAAAGGGCUGCGAUACCGUGAGGUGGAGCGAAUCCCAAAAAGCCGGUCUCAGUUCGGAUUGGGGUCUGCACUCGACCCCAUGAAGUUGGAGUCGCUAGUAAUCGCAGAUCAGCAAUGCUGCGGUGAUACGUUCCCGGCCUUGUACUCAC
rnacentral:rRNA from 1 species